GCUUACGGCCAUACCACUCUGAACACGCCCGAUCUCGUCCGAUCUCGGAAGCUAAGCAGGGUCGGGCCUGGUUAGUACUUGGAUGGGAGACCGCCUGGGAAUACCAGGUGCUGUAAGCA
ensembl:rRNA 5S_rRNA 5S ribosomal RNA